rnacentral:rRNA from 1 species
AGCGAACGCUGGCGGCAGGCCUAACACAUGCAAGUCGAACGAAGUCUUCGGACUUAGUGGCGGACGGGUGAGUAACACGUGGGAACGUGCCUUUAGGUUCGGAAUAACUCAGGGAAACUUGUGCUAAUACCGAAUGUGCCCUUCGGGGGAAAGAUUUAUCGCCUUUAGAGCGGCCCGCGUCUGAUUAGCUAGUUGGUGAGGUAAAGGCUCACCAAGGCGACGAUCAGUAGCUGGUCUGAGAGGAUGAUCAGCCACAUGGGACUGAGACACGGCCCAAACUCCUACGGGAGGCAGCAGUGGGGAAUCUUGCGCAAUGGGCGAAAGCCUGACGCAGCCAUGCCGCGUGAAUGAUGAAGGUCUUAGGAUUGUAAAAUUCUUUCACCGGGGACGAUAAUGACGGUACCCGGAGAAGAAGCCCCGACUAGCUUCGUGCCAGCCGCCGCUGUAAUAC